CAAGUAGAACGCUGAAGGAGGAGCUUGCUUCUCCGGAUGAGCUGCGAACGGGUGAGUAACGCGUAGGUAACCUGCCUGGUAGCGGGGGAUAACUAUUGGAAACGAUAGCUAAUACCGCAUAAGAGUAGAUGUUGCAUGACAUUUGCUUAAAAGGUGCAAUUGCAUCACUACCAGAUGGACCUGCGUUGUAUUAGCUAGUUGGUGGGGUAACGGCUCACCAAGGCGACGAUACAUAGCCGACCUGAGAGGGUGAUCGGCCACACUGGGACUGAGACACGGCCCAGACUCCUACGGGAGGCAGCAGUAGGGAAUCUUCGGCAAUGGACGGAAGUCUGACCGAGCAACGCCGCGUGAGUGAAGAAGGUUUUCGGAUCGUAAAGCUCUGUUGUAAGAGAAGAACGAGUGUGAGAGUGGAAAGUUCACACUGUGACGGUAUCUUACCAGAAAGGGACGGCUAACUACGUGCCAGCAGCCGCGGUAAUACGUAGGUCCCGAGCGUUGUCCGGAUUUAUUGGGCGUAAAGCGAGCGCAGGCGGUUAGAUAAGUCUGAAGUUAAAGGCUGCGGCUUAACCAUAGUACGCUUUGGAAACUGUUUAACUUGAGUGCAAGAGGGGAGAGUGGAAUUCCAUGUGUAGCGGUGAAAUGCGUAGAUAUAUGGAGGAACACCGGUGGCGAAAGCGGCUCUCUGGCUUGUAACUGACGCUGAGGCUCGAAAGCGUGGGGAGCAAACAGGA
rnacentral:rRNA from 1 species